GAAAAAUCCCCAUGUUUUAUUGUGCACUACUGUUUGGCUGACUUCCAAACCCUCAACAAACUAUUUUAUUUACAAUCAUGCCACUGAGAUUAAAAUAAAUUAGGACCUCCUUUGCGAUUAUGCACCGUAUACUCUCCAACGACCGAAUCAGAAGUCGAUCUCCCAGGCAUUAGCAGAAGAACAAGCCCGAUCAACACAACGGGAGCCGAAAUCACAAGAAUAAGACCACGAUGGCGUUGGAUCAACAAGAGAUUCAUGCCGUCCAAUCUCACGCUUCGCCGUCUUAUUACCUCCGUCAACAGAGUCAGAUGUAGGAGAAUGGUUUCCAGACUCCAGAAGCUCAGUGGAAGAAGCCGAACGGUAGCGUAUCUUACCGUUGCCGUUGUCGGUACCGGAGGACGCCGUGGCCUGCGGCGGAUCUUGUCAUGGCUCCAGAUCGAUGGUGGAUUUGGAAGAUGCGACUUGAAUCGGUGGAUUUUGAUUCUGGAGAAAAGCUUUGAAUCCGAAGCUUGUUUGCUUCAGAUCCUCCAUAGUUUUUUCAAUGUUUAUGUUUUUUCUCUGUAUGAAUCUUAGUAUCGAGAAGAAGAGGUUUCUCUUGAAACUUUGAGUAAGAAAAUGGAUGAUUUUGCAAAAGCUAGAGAUUGGGAGAAGUAUCACAUCCCAAGAAAUCUCCUUCUUGCGAUGGUGGGUGAAGUGGGAGAGCUAUCAGAGAUAUUCCAAUGGAAAGGAGAAGUGGCAAGAGGAUGUCCAGAUUGG